rnacentral:tRNA from 1 species
CCGACCUUAGCUCAGUUGGUAGAGCGGAGGACUGUAGUGGAAUUUGAACUGAAAUCCUUAGGUCGCUGGUUCAAAUCCGGCAAGUCGGA